rnacentral:rRNA from 1 species
CGUAGGGUGCGAGCGUUGUCCGGAUUUAUUGGGCGUAAAGAGCUUGUAGGCGGUUUGUCGCGUCGGGAGUGAAAACUCAGUGCUUAACACUGAGCCUGCUUCCGAUACGGGCAGACUUGAGGAAGGUAGGGGAGAUUGGAAUUCCUGGUGGAGCGGUGGAAUGCGCAGAUAUCAGGAGGAACACCAGUGGCGAAGGCGGAUCUCUGGACCUUUCCUGACGCUGAGAAGCGAAAGCGUGGGGAGCAAACGGGAUUAGAUACCCU